GAUGAACGCUAGCGGCAGGCUUAAUACAUGCAAGUCGAGGGGCAGCAGGGGUAGCAAUACCCGCUGGCGACCGGCAAACGGGUGCGGAACACGUACACAACCUUCCUUUAAGUGGGGGAUAGCCCAGAGAAAUUUGGAUUAAUACCCCGUAAUAUUAUUUAGUGGCAUCAUUAGGUAAUUAAAGCUCCGGCGCUUAGAGAUGGGUGUGCGGCUGAUUAGGUAGUUGGUGAGGUAACGGCCCACCAAGCCUUCGAUCAGUAACUGGUGUGAGAGCACGACCAGUCACACGGGCACUGAGACACGGGCCCGACUCUACGGGAGGCAGCAGUAAGGAAUAUUGGUCAAUGGACGCAAGUCUGAACCAGCCAUGCCGCGUGGAGGAUGAAGGUCCUCUGGAUUAGUAAACUUUCUUUUAUCUAGGGAAGAAACCCUAUUUUUUCUUAAAGUAGGUUGACGGUACCAGAAGAAUAAGCACCGGCUAACUCCGUG
rnacentral:rRNA from 1 species